UUGGAGGGCAAGUCUGGUGCCAGCAGCCGCGGUAAUUCCAGCUCCAAUAGCGUAUAUUAAAGUUGUUGCAGUUAAAAAGCUCGUAGUUGAAUUUCGGGAUCAAUACGUCGGUCGUGCCUUUGGUACGUACUAAUGUCAUUGAUUUCUCCCUUCCGAUGAAUCACGAUGUCAUUAAUUUGAUGUUGUGGGGAGUCAGGACUGUUACUUUGAAAAAAUUAGAGUGUUUAAAGCAGGCUAAGGCUUGAAUACAUUAGCAUGGAAUAAUGAAAUAGGACGUUUGAUCCUAUUUUGUUGGUUUCUAGGAUUGACGUAAUGAUUAAUAGGGAUAGUUGGGGGCAUUAGUAUUCAAUUGUCAGAGGUGAAAUUCUUGGAUUUAUUGAAGACUAACUACUGCGAAAGCAUUUGCCAAGGAUGUUUUCAUUAAUCAAGAACGAAAGUUAGGGGAUCGAAGACGAUCAGAUACCGUCGUAGUCUUAACCAUAAACUAUGCCAACUAGGGAUCGGAUGAUGUUAAUUUUUUAAUGACUCAUUCGGCGCCUUACGGGAAAC
rnacentral:rRNA from 1 species